rnacentral:lncRNA from 1 species
GAGCCUACCACGGUGGAAGGCCACGAAAGAGUGUUCAAAGCACUCUCACACUUAUCAACUUAAUAAUGGUUUCGUUGAGGGUUUUAGGUCUCAUCACAUAUAAGCAUGCAUUUUAAUCUUAUUAAAACAAUUUGGUCCUAUUACAACUAUUAGUCCAUGUGAUUGAUUUAGUUGUAUGUAAUACUCCCACUAUGCUUGUAAAACGGUUUUUAAAGCAAGAGCAUAUGGUACUACUAACAUAAGGUUUGCAUUCAUUGAUGGACUAUAUAGUUGCCUUAGGGCCUUAGGAUGACUAUGAACCUUUGAUUAGAUCCAACACAAGCCUAGUGUUGAAUCUCGGUCUAGGGAUGGUGAUUGAUUUUAGUUACAUGUUUAAUCAUAUUAAGGCGUGUUUUUCCUAUUGGGCGUUGGACCCAACUACUCAAAUUUCAUGCAUAUCAAAUAAAA